rnacentral:rRNA from 1 species
GGACAACCUACCCUAUGGAGGGGGAUAACCCCGGGAAACUGGGGAUAAUACCCCAUAGACUAUGGAUGCUGGAAUGCUUUGUAGUUGAAAGGUCCGCCGCCAUAGGAUGGGUCUGCGGCCGAUUAGGUUGUUGUUGGGGUAACGGCCCAACAAGCCUGUAAUCGGUACGGGUUGUGGGAGCAAGAGCCCGGAGAUGGAUUCUGAGACACGAAUCCAGGCCCUACGGGGCGCAGCAGGCGCGAAAACUUUACAAUGCGGGAAACCGUGAUAAGGGAACUCCGAGUGCCCGUAAAAUCGGGCUGUCCAUCUGUGUAAAUAACAGGUGAAGAAAGGGCCGGGCAAGACCGGUGCCAGCCGCCGCGGUAAUACCGGCGGCUCGAGUGGUGGCCACUAUUACUGGGCUUAAAGCGUUCGUAGCUGGUCUGUUAAGUCUCUGGGGAAAUCUACUGGCUUAACCAAUAGGCGUCUCAGGGAUACUGGCAGACUAAGGACCGGGAGAGGUGAGAGGUACUCCAGGGGUAGGAGUGAAAUCCUGUAAUCCUUGGGGGACCACCUGUGGCGAAGGCGUCUCACCAGAACGGCUCCGACAGUGAGGGACGAAAGCUGGGGGAGCAAACCGGAUUAGAUACCCGGGUAGUCCCAGC